rnacentral:rRNA from 1 species
CGCGGCCUAUCAGCUUGUUGGUGGGGUAAUGGCCUACCAAGGCGGCGACGGGUAGCCGGCCUGAGAGGGUGGACGGCCACAUUGGGACUGAGAUACGGCCCAGACUCCUACGGGAGGCAGCAGUGGGGAAUAUUGCACAAUGGGCGCAAGCCUGAUGCAGCGACGCCGCGUGGGGGAUGACGGCCUUCGGGUUGUAAACUCCUUUCGCUAGGGACGAAGCUUUUUGUGACGGUACCUAGAUAAGAAGCACCGGCUAACUACGUGCCAGCAGCCGCGGUAAUACGUAGGGUGCGAGCGUUGUCCGGAAUUACUGGGCGUAAAGGGCUCGUAGGUGGUUUGUCGCGUCGUCUGUGAAAUUCCGGGGCUUAACUCCGGGCGUGCAGGCGAUACGGGCAUAACUUGAGUACUGUAGGGGUAACUGGAAUUCCUGGUGUAGCGGUGAAAUGCGCAGAUAUCAGGAGGAACACCGAUGGCGAAGGCAGGUUACUGGGCAGUUACUGACGCUGAGGAGCGAAAGCAUGGGUAGCGAACAGGAUUAGAUGCCCUGGUAGUCCAUGCCGUAAACGGUGGGCGUUAGGUGUGAGGGUCUUUUCACGACUUUCGUGCCGUAGCUAACGCCUUAAGCGCCCCGCCUGGGGAGUACGG